CCUACGGGUGGCAGCAGUGAGGAAUAUUGGUCAAUGGACGAGAGUCUGAACCAGCAAAGUAGCGUGAAGGAUGACUGCCCUAUGGGUUGUAAACUUCUUUUAUAUGGGAAUAAAAUGUUCCACGUGUGGGAUUUUGUAUGUACCAUAUGAAUAAGGAUCCGCUAACGCCGUGCCAGCAGCCGCGGUAAUACGGAGGAUCCGAGCGUUGUCCGGAUUGAUUGGGUUUAAAGGGAGCGUAGGUGUGUUGUUAAGUCAGUUGUGAAAGUUUGCGGCUCAACCGUAAAAUUGCAGUUGAAACUGGCAGUCUUGAGUACAGUAGAGGUAGGCGGAAUUCGUGGUGUAGCGGUGAAAUGCUUAGAUAUCACGAAGAACUCCGAUGGCGAAGGCAGUUCACUGGACUGCAACUGACACUGAGGCUCGAAAGUGUGGGUAUCAAACAGGAUUAGAUACCCGGGUAGUC
rnacentral:rRNA from 1 species